AAAUGGGGGGGGGGGGGAACAGUAUUUCCAGUGAACAUGUACCGUGUAUCCUCCGUGCACCAGGCAUCGCAGGACGGCACUGGGGGUACUUGGGUACGAUACCAUUACUCACUCUCUGACUCUACGACUUGCUGUGCAAGCACCAUUCGUGGAAAGCAAAAUCAGUCCGGCGUGUCGGAAUCAAUAUUUCGUUGAGUAAUGUUUUAUUUGCUAGAAUUUCAAGAACAUUCUGUAUAUUCUCUACCCACGUUCACCUACUGUUCACAUGUUGUCUCAUAUGCCCUCUGUGUAGACUAGAGACAACGUGCACCUUUACCCCUAAAUAAUUCAGUGUGCCUUUCCCAAGAGAGCAUUAUCACACAUUGCCACAGUACCAUUUCCCAAUUAAGAAAAUGAACACCAAUAGGAUCAUAUAAUCUACUGUCCAUAUUCAAAUUCUACCCACGUCCCCAGAAUUUCCCUCAACAUCUUCUUCUGUAUUUUCAAAAAGGAAAUACAAAAGAAUAGAAAAUGUAAGAUUGCAUUGAACGUUUGAUCUUCAUAACCUUUUUGUUGUUGUUGUUCUAGAAGUGUGUGGUGCACACGUGUGUAUUAAUUGGGAUGUAAAACAUCAUUACUGUGAGUCACAGUAAACAAAACUGUGGAACUCUUUAGAGCGGUGGUUCUCAAACUUAAGACAUCAGAAUCACCUGGAAGGCUUCCAACAGACUGCUUGGCCCCACCCCAGAGAUUCUGAUUCCAUCCACCUGGGAUGGGAUCUGAGCUGCUGCGUUUCUAACAAAUGCACAUUUCUAAAAACACUUUAAGGACCACUGCUUUAUUUGAUUCUCCGUUCCAAAGAAGAAGGUAGACCAGGUGGAAGACGAGACCCUGAGCGAGUUCCGCAGGGGCAGAGCCAGGGAGCCUCGCUACGCAGCACGAACAGCUCCGAGAGGCACAAAACGCGGCAGGAAGCGAAAGAGGGGAGCUCUUCUGUGGAAUUUCCUGUUCAGAACCGUGGCCACCAGAGGGCAGAUGAAGACCAGGACUGGAGGUUUGAAGAUGUAAUUGGAGACCAGAGUUCACAUUUUCUGGUUCAAAGUCUGUUCAAGAUUAGUAAGGCUAUGUCUCUGAACUACCUGUUGCUCAACUCAUUUUUCCUUGUCAUGUGCAUUAUCCUUUCUUAUACGUCAAGCUCAUGCCUUUAAGUCUCCCUGAAGGCAAAGGGUAUGAUAUUCUCGUGUGGGAAAGAAAAUAAAGGAAAUAAUUUCUUUCUCAAAUUUCCCUUCUGUUUUUUUUUUUAACUUCCUGCAGCACCUACUAAUUACUGGGUGCACAGGAAUAACCCACUGAACUUGGCAGCUCUCUUUGGGAAGAAACUAAGGUCGUUAUCUGUGGUAAACAGACCAACUGCUCACCAUCUGUAACAAUGACGCUGCGAAACGAACUGAAAACGUCCCGCGGGGCAAGGCCAGGGCCAAGAAGGAGGAGACCUCGGCUUGGACGUUCCCUUUAUGACAAAGAGGAAAUAAAAUUCAGAAAGGAAGUAGUACGCGGUAUAUUUUUCAGUUGGGGGGGCAGAAAGAAUUUUCCAUUGCCGCGAACUGCGAUGACGUUCGAUCCCUCUGUGUGUCACAAGCUCUCGGACGUUUCCUUGGCUCUGAUACCCACUACUGAACUUAUUUGCCGUGCAACCAACGUCCUACUUUUUCUAGACCUAACUGGCACUGCCCGCAGCCAAACUGAGAUCACAUGCCUGACCACUGCAUCAUGACCUGCAACGUCACAUGUUUCAGAUUCCAUUCCCAGCUCCCUGCAGGGCUGCGUCUGGUGCAGGAAGCCUGGCAGGACCAUUCCAGCAAAGUCCAGGAUUUCUCUGGCCAAGCAAUAGCUGAUUCCAACCUGCAGAGGAAUUCGUUUUAUGACUCAAACUUGCGAAAGGGACACAUGAGCGCACAAGUGAGAAAGAGAAAACAAAACAACACCCCAGAGGAAGAGAUUUUGGUAAGAAAAUUAAGAGAACUAAAAUCUCUACAGUAGAAACUUUCUUUGUCUCUAUGAUUCACUCUCAAGCUGUGCCCCCCCCCCCAAAAAAAAAGAAGAAGAAAAAGAAGUUUCUGAAAACAGUUCUCAUCCUUUUAAUGUCCCUGCUCUCUGACACGACUUUUGGGUGGCCUGAGGACACACAGUUGUGCAGCUGACCUUGUUCACAGAGUUCAGGGCAACUGGAGUCCUUACCUCAGGGAUCCUUCACUGCUCAGCUGAGAAAGGAAAAGAGCCAGAGCACCAUCAGCCAGACAACCUCACGCCAGACGUACUUCCCUCUCCAACCCCCAGGUGACACAAAAACCUUCUUUCUGGAACCUUCUGUAAGAGUAAACAGCUACCCCUACCCUCUGGCUGCCACCCUGUUCUCACAGGGCAGCCUGCUCACCCCUUUAACCUUGUCACUUAGCAUAAAGAAAAUCACUACCAACCACCCUCCCUCUCCACCUCACACCAUUGCCAGGCCGCAAACAUGCCAGGCUCUUUAUUUCCUAGGCUUGGAGAAUGGGAGAAGGCUUCCCAGAGGAAGUGGGAUCUACAGUUUACCUGGAAUAGGAGCAGGAGCCAGGUAGGCCAGGGUAAGCGUGCUCUAGGGAGACAGAGCAUGUGCAAAGGCCCAGUGGUGAGCGAGCAUGUGACGUAUUCUGGAAGCUAGCACAAGUUCAGCGUGGCUGGAGCAGAGUUGGGGAGGCAGCAGAAGACGAGGCUAGGGACAUCAGCAGGGGUCCUCCAGUUCCUUCCUCCUCAAAAUGUUCUGCACAGACCAGCAGCGCUGGCAUCCCCUGGGGAGCCUAUUCAAAACGCACAAUUUUAGGCCCAGCGCCCAA